CCCUGACGCCGGCGCGCUCGGCCGCCGCCGCCCGCCCCCAAGCUGCAUUCACCCCUCCCGUCGGCGUGGUCAGCGGGUCGCAGACCACCUUCUUGUCCAGCUACGGGGACGGUGACGUCACCCUGACCAACUCGACGCGCAGCACGCGCAGCCACGUGAGCGUCGGCAUUGAAGUGAUUCAGGUCCAGGGCAGCCGCUUCCCCCGGCCCAGCAGCCGGCCCCCGACGCCCAAGGAACCCAAGGAACCCAAGGACUCUAAAGAAUCUGACAGCGACAGCGACCGGCUCACGGACCUUUACAGCCCGGAGGCGGAGGGGUAGCUAUCAGUGCAUCCCUUUCCUUGCUGACCUUGCACAGGAUGUGACGUUUCAUUUGUCUGUUGCAAGCACACUGUGCAUUUUUUUAAGUCAAUGCUUGACAAUGAGUUUUGUUUAUAGUCUUUUCUUCCCACAUGAGAUGUAUUUUUUUAAGAAGAGAAUGCGAUUAUUCUUCAACCCCAAGCGUUUUCUCUAUGAUAUAAUUUUUUUUGACUAGUCACUUAAUUAAAGAUUAAGUCUGUGCCAGUGUCUAUCAAUAAGCCAAACAAUUCUAGGACAUAAUUAUUUAAACAAGGCGUAGCCCUGUUGUGGUGUUUUCUGUUUCAAUAUGACACAAAAUGAUUUUCUAAACAAGGCCUAGCCGAGUGUCUGCAGUCUCCAUAUGACAUGUCAUUAUGUAGAAUAUAACUACCCAAUCAACCCUGAGACCUGUUUCUGUGAUAUUUUGUCAAUGAAACAUGUAUUUUAAGAAUAACUCCCUUAGCUGAGUGUUUUCAGUCUCAAUGUACCAUAUUUUUUUAAAUGAUUUAAUUAGUUAGUGAACCCUUAUACCCUUUUCUGUGAUUUCUGUGAUUCUCAGUGUGUCAUAUUUUUAGAAUAAUUUUCCGAACAAGGCUUAGCCCAGAGUUUUAGUCUUCAGUGUGCCAUAUGCCAUAUAUUUUUAGGAUUUAAGUCCUUAGACCCGCUUC